UAAGGUCGCGUGUGACUGACAGCUUCAUGAUCGUCACGUUGGAGUAAAUGCGUAAGUUCUGGAUCUUCAUCUCCACUGUGAUGUAAUAAUUUGUAAUAUUCGUAUGAGUUUAUGUUUCUCUUGUAUCUGCCAACAACAUCGUACAUCGUUCUACGAUUCGCCUUUAGUGGAAUGAAAACAACGCAUCACAAUGCCUAAGAAUUCGAUAAAAAAUAUCAAGCUAUUCUGGGAUGGUAUAUACAAAACAGCUUUGCCAAUAUAUUACAUUGGGCUUCUUCUUUCUAAUGUUGGAUGGGACUCAUACUACAGGAAGCAACCCCAGUUGGUGUGUGUUGAUUUGAACAACAACAAUCGACAGAAAAGCCAACUUUCCUUUGUAGAAAUUCUCAUGUUAAAGUUAUCCACAAUGGAAAAGGAAACAGAUGUGAAUGCCUGUUUUCCCUGUGAGCCUACAGUGUACAUUGUGCGUGAUGCAGUUUACCGAUCUUGUGAAGAAUUCAUCUAUGUUGCUGGUUGCUCCAACUUCAAAACUUGUGUCCAUCUUUGUUCUGAGGAGUUUAAAGAUCGAAGUAAAGAUGCUUACCUCCAUCUUUUACUAUCUUCUGCAGUGGAACAGGGGGAGACAUCAAGAUCAAAAACCAUCCCAUUCAAAAAUCUUCUUGCAGCAAAUUUUGUUGUAAAUCACCUUCCAGAUUCUUCUUUUUACAGAGUUUUGGAAUCCACAUCAAACAAUCUUCUCAAAUACCAAGAAUUUCUUGAAUUUUGUUGUUAUCUUCUCAACCGAAACAACUUCCAUUGUGCGUUUGCUCUUUCUUUGUCCAACCAAAUUGAUCCAAUAUUAUUGGAGAAGAAAAGAAAGCAAGCCGUGUAUUUUCUUCGAAACCAAUUAAAUCAUAAAAGUCCAAAAAACAAUCAAGAGUUGGAAGUAUUAAAUGAAUGCACAAAACUAAUUGGCAGUGCUGAAUUGAACAAAAUGACAAAUAACCAACGAAAUGUGAUCAAUUUAAAAUCUGUUCGUGUUUUCUGCUUUCCAAAUGAGCAAAACAUUAAGGAUGAUGGAUCUGUUGUUAACAGUGCUAAAGACCCCCCUGGUCAGCGCAGCUUCUACAUUCCACCGGGUGAUUCUGCAAUGGAAUCUUACAGACUCAGCACGUUCAUGAAAUAUCCACAAGAUACUCCAGUUAAUCCAAGACAUCUGGCAACUGCUGGUUUAUACUUUACUGGGUAUAAGGAUAGGGUGAAAUGCUUUUGUUGUGGACUCGCAACGGAGCAAUGGCAGUUUGGUGACGACGAGAAAUCUCCUCGGUGGCACAGAAGCAAUUGUGAAUUCAUUCAAGGGCACGAUUGUGGAAAUAUCCCAAUAGGUUCAUGGGGUUGGAUCCGACCAGAUAACACAGCCAGGGCCCAACCACCACAACCACAGCAACAUAAUAACAUUGUUGCCGGGAAAGCAACUUCCCUUCAAGGAUCUUUUAGUCCUCCAUUGGGAAUUCCAAUGCAAACUGCCACAGUUGUUCAACAACGCCGUACCCCUACUUUCCAGAGAAUUGAGUUGGCUACGAUUUCAUCUGUGUAUCAUGAACAAGUGCUUCGUAGUUUGGAUCUCAAGAAAGAAGGGGAAAGAAUGAAAUCAUUUGAAAACUGGCCGACACAAAAUCGAACUGUAAAUCCGAGUGAUUUGGCUCGUUCCGGCUUUUUUUACCUCGGUAAUUUAGAUCGAGUUCAGUGUUUCUCAUGUGGAGGAGUGUUGCGCAACUGGAAUUAUGGGGAUAAUAUUACAGCUGAACACAGGAGACACUUCCCACAUUGCAGAAUGACUCAAGGAACGGAGAGCAAUAACGUUCCUUCAUCCUCACCACCGGAGGCCAGCAACGCUCCACGACGAAACAUACAGGAACCUCCCGACCCCUCGGAAUCUGAGCAGCGUGAAUUAGAAAUGAUGUUUCCGUGCCAACAUCCCGUGAAUUCUCACAUGAGACAUCUUGAUUCACGAAUUGUGACUUUUGAUUCACGCUGGCCGAAGAAUAAAACACAAGCUACCAUUCAACAAAUCGCAAAAGCUGGCUUCUUUUACCUUGGUGAACGAGACCGUGUAAAGUGCUGGUAUUGUAACGGAGGUUUACAGAACUGGGAUCCAGAUGAUGAACCAUGGACUGAACACGCAAAGUGGUUUCCAACCUGUGAAUUCCUGAUUCGAUCGAAGGGCCCGGACUUUGUCCACCACAUGGUGUCUCUCUACCCCAAUCUUCCACGACCAAUCCUCCAAACAGCACAAGGAGCAAACGGAAGUCAAUCGUCUGGAACAUCAUCUGCUCCCAUUAUCAUUGAUCCUCAGGUUGAGAAGCGAAAGUUAAGAGAGAAAUUAAACCUUGAAAUGGAUCGAGAUAUCGUGAAGUGUGUCAAUGAUAUGGGAUUUGAGUUGAAACAUAUUCGCCUGUGUGUUAAAAGAAAACUUGAAAAAGAAAACAUCGGAUUCUCAUCUGCUCAGCAACUCAUCGAUGAAAUAUUGAAGUUGAAUCUUGAUGAGGAAGAAGAGGAAGAAUUGGAUUUGGAAACCGAUCCCAAGGAGCCUGCUGCCAUGGAAACGGAAGGUGGGAAGUUAUAUCAUGUUUUAUAGAUCUGAUGAAAGAAUCGUCCUGUUAUAUGAACACCAGAUCAGGGUUAGGUUGGUAGAAUUUGUUGCAGUUAUGUUUUAAGCUUUCUGCAUUAGGUAGACAUCUUAGGAGGUCAAACCUAGCAAUUUUAAACGGUAUCUGGACCAAAGGUGUACUAUAAACAUAAGGUUAAAAUUAGAUCUGUAAAAGUAUAUCUUUCUUUUGAUGUCAAACUGCUGGAGACACAAUUCUGCUCUGUAAUAACAAGCCCUACUGAAACACAAAGCAGAUCAGUACACCGCAUCAGGAUGUUAUUGAGCACAUCUUACAAUGUCAAUGCAAGAUAGAUUACUUGAGCUACAAAACGAAAGGAAAUGCAAAAUUUGUGUCGACAAGUUAAGUGAUAUUGUGUUUGUACCUUGCGGUCACUUGUGUGUCUGCCAAGCGUGUAAAAGCAAAGUGACACGCUGUCCAAUAUGUAAAAGUAAGGUGGAGAAAUCCAUCAGAACAUACAUGUCAUGAACAACCUUGCAGGUGCAAUACUACUGUGUAUUGAAUGCGCAAAACUUUGAUUGGCAGUCAAUACUUAGUUGCAUUCUGCACAGCAUUGUAUUGUAAGCAUUGAAAAACAUUUGCAACAGUGCAAAACUUAAUGUGUAUGCGAUAGACAUACACAUUAUUCCCUUCAAGAGAUUUCAAGCUGUAAAGAAAAAACAGAUUUCCACAAAAAUUAUUUCGUUUAAUCUUCUUACCACUAAAGUCAUAUAAUUCCUUCUAUUUUUUGCUAUUCUGUUAAUGUGUUUAGCUCAUGCUUCUGCCAUGUAACUAAAUACGUUGCCUAUAAUUUUAUGCACUAAUAUUUUCAUGGUUAUGUUCAAAAGUCUCAUUUUUAUGCCUUGUAAAUAUAAAUGUUUUUUAUUGUGUCUUAAUUUUAAUAGCUCUUUCAAUUUAUAAUCCAAAUAUUGUUACAGGUAUAAUAAUUAGAUAUAUAUGAUUGCUGUAUGCAAUCUAAUAGAGAACAAUUUUUCAAGUAGCAGUGCUUUUUCAUUGCAGUUUUAUAAUAAUUGGGGGCAGAAGUAGUUUGAGAAAUGACUAAAAAUGUUAUUUAGUUUCCAUUAAAAAUUUAUAGAAAUGUGACUUAAAACUUAUACAACUUGUUUUUUUCAGCUUUAAUAAUUACUUUUACUUUCUAUUUUUACUUUAUCAUAGUUUUAUCUAUUGGGUGAUUUAAUUGUGUGUAGAAAAGUAGUUGCGGUGAGAUUAAAUAUAUGUAAAUCAAAAACAAUUAAACCGUAGACAUGUUUUAGGCAGCACUGUAAAAUACUAUUUAUAUAUUUUUAAAUGUAUUUAAAACCAAGCAUAGCGGGUGUUUAUUGGUAUAUGAAUGUCUUAGAUCAGAACUUGAGAACGGUACGCAGUAACGCGAGUGUCGACUCUAUAUCGUGUAAAAGAUACAGCGUUAAGUUUGUAGGUGCGUAGCCUACGUUUAAUAUUUAAUGUGAAUGAUUGUAAUUUACUUCAGUUACAUUUGUGUGCCUAAUGUGUUCGUAUCUACGGGUACCGUUGUUUCCCCCUCUUGUGUUUUCGACGAUUUUACAAUCAACGACAGUGGUUGUU